AUGUUUUCCUUAUACUGGGGGGGAAACAGAGUAAUCUCCACUCGAGAGUCUAAGGCAAUAUAUGUAGAAAUGAAUGUUUUUUCAUCCUGUCCAGAUUACAGUAGGAGCCAUCAGCGGGAGCUGAUUGAUGCCCCGAUUGUAGAUCUUUCUGUUGGCGUUUAUGAUCCAUAUGAGGAAAAGGGAGCUAUUUUUGCUGUAGUUAUUAGGAAACUGAUCAUUUAUGGAUUAUUACUCAUGAUUAUUAGCAUCAAAUCCCUUUUUGAUACGGGGUGGAAGGGGAUCAUGGCAUGCUAUAUUUGUGGUACAGAGAGAGGUCAUUCCUCGCCUUUGCUCUCACCAGUGCAAUUCCUUCUGCUUUCUGUUCUUUCUACCAUCAGCCGUGAUCGAGGGGAGUGUGCCAUGGCGGGUCAUGGAGGGAGUGUGAGCAAUGUUGUGGGGAAAACACCUGCGAGUGGAGAGGGGUCGAGGGUGAUGAUGGAUGCCACGACUGUUGAAUCCUAUCUCCACCAGCUGGGGAUGAAGGCAAGAUGGCCACUGCCCCUUCCAUGCACCUGA
rnacentral:rRNA from 1 species